AGAGGACGUUGUGAUAUUCAAAGAAAAUGGGCGCACGGCAUGCAUGGUGCGUCUUUGGUGUCUGGCUGACCCGUCCUCCUGUCCUGAGGGGCCGGGGGAAGCCGCCUUCCUGGCUCGCCUCCUCCUGGCCAAACGCAGAUGCAGGUUUUGGACCAAAUGACUACAAGAUCUGGAGGUCACAAGUCCCACACGGGCCUCGAGGGGCUGCGUUCCUUCUGGAGGCUCCGGGGGAGAGUCCGUUUCCUGCUCAUCGGGUCGUCGGCAGAAUCCAGUGUCCUGUGGCUGGAGGCCUGACAUCUUUGGAAGGCAACAGUCUGCUUACCGCGGGAACGAAGUCCUGGGUGUCCGUGAGGUCACAAACGGAUUUGUUGCCAGAAACUGAAUUGUCGUUUAGCAAUUAGGCCCCCGGUUGUGUUCGGCCUGCACGUAGCCAGUCAGGUGGAGGUCAGGUGUGAGCAGGGAGGCCGGGACGCUGAGCCACAGCGUCCUUUUCCUCCCCACUUCUGAGCUGCCCUGGACGGGUCCUUGUUAUUCCGGCCUCGGGGGUUCCCUGCCUCCCUGGCUAGCUCCUCCCCGAACGCACAGCUCGCCAAGGCCAGCUCACUCUUUCUGGAACACACUUCCCCAUCCGACGAUACCUCCUGAAAUGUGCCCAAGGCAGAGAACCUCUCUUGUCUCCACCCUCCGCCCGGCUCUCCCAGAGGACAGCUCUGCGUCUGAGGUUAAGGACCAAGUGGCCAAGGGUGGUCGUUUCGUUGAGGCCUAGAUGGUGGGGUGCCCACAUCAGCCCCCAGCUCUGGCAGUGGCUGGGGAGGCAGGCCAGGGCGGCUCGGGCACCCGGGCUUCCGAGUCACACUGCCCGGGUUCAAAUCCUGGCUCCACGUGAGAGCUGGGGAGCCUGGAGCAUGUUUCUUGACUUCUCUGUGCCUUGCUUCCCUCUCUUGUAAAAGGUGAAUAAUGAUGGCAUUUCCCUCAAGGGAUGGUUGAUUGAGAUAAUCAGCGCCAACUGCUUGCACUGGGGAGAGCCUGGAACUUUCGCCAUGGGUUGGUAAUCCCACGGUCGUGACUGUCAUGGGGUCAGCACAUGCUCCGCGCUCGCACUGCAGCUGUGGGCUCGGUGGGUGUCCCGCAUCAGCCGAGGCUCUGUCUGGGCAUCAUGUGGGCAGGGGCACGGGGUGCUUGGGGGGGACAAGGAGCUGGCACGUGUUUCUCCCAGGCUUGUACUCCCUCUAAAGAAAAGUUCAAAAAGCA